UACGUAGGGGGCAAGCGUUAUCCGGAUUUACUGGGUGUAAAGGGAGCGUAGACGGUUAUGCAAGUCAGAAGUGAAAGCCCAAAGCUCAACUUCGGGACUGCUUUUGAAACUGUGUAACUAGAGUGCAGGAGGGGUAAGCGGAAUUCCUAGUGUAGCGGUGAAAUGCGUAGAUAUAUGGAAGAACACCAGUGGCGAAAGCGGCUCUCUGGUCUGUAACUGACGCUGAGGUUCGAAAGCGUGGGUAGCAAACAGG
rnacentral:rRNA from 1 species